rnacentral:rRNA from 1 species
CCCUUAGAUGUUCUGGGCCGCACGCGCGCUACACUGACGAAUUCAACGAGCUUAUAACCUUGGCCGAUAGGUCUGGGUAAUCUUUGAACGCUGUUCGUGAUUGGGAUAGACCUUUGCAAUUAUGGGUCUUCAACGAGGAAUUCCUAGUAAACGCAAGUCAUCAGCUUGCAUUGAUUACGUCCCUGCCCUUUGUACACACCGCCCGUCGCACCUACCGAUUGAAUGGUCCGGUGAAAUCUCGGGACGGCGGCUUGGUCGCUUGCGUCCGACUGCUGAAACUUGAUUAAACCAUAUCAUUUAGAGGAAGGUGAAGUCGUAACA